UGACCCCAGCUCAGGUGAGAACACCCGCUGAGUUUAAGAAUAUAACUAAGUGGAGGAAAAGAAACUUACAAGUAUUCCCCUAGUAAUGACAAGCGAACCGGGAAGAGCCCAGCAUGAAAAUUGGGUGGCAGCGUC
rfam:Picea glauca, whole genome shotgun sequence.